CCGGCAGCUCCUUCAUUACCUCUCUCGCCAUUGCCGCACUCGACUUCCGAAUUUGCGCCCGACCGAUGCUCGGGAUGGGUCUCGGAGGUCCGCCGACAUUCAUGGUGCUCGUCCGUGCCAUUCCUUGGAUGCGCAGGUCACUUGGGUCCGGAGAAUUCCUCACCGGAGCGCAGGACGUCGCCGCGGGCCGCACUGCUCCAUGGCUGCGGCUCGUCUCGACAUCAUCUCAGAAAACAAAGAAGAAGUUGU
rnacentral:lncRNA from 7 species